CCGCUUCCUCGUGUCAUGGUCGCCCACAGGCGGAGCGUUUAGCAGUAGCAGCAGCUCAGCAAAGUCAUGCCUCGCUACGAGCUGGCCUUGAUCCUGAAGGCGAUGCAGCGGCCAGAGACGGCGGCUGCUCUCCGCAGGACGGUGGAGACGCUGGUGGAACGAGGCGCGGUGGUGAGGGGUUUGGAGAACCUCGGCGAGAGGCUGCUGCCCUACAAGAUGAACAAGCACAACCAGAGACACAGCAGGGGCGCCUACUUUCUCAUCGACUUCUACGCGGCGCCCAGCAUCCUCACGGGUUUGAUGAACCACCUGCACCGAGACGUGGACGUGGUGAGACCCGCCGUGCUCAAGAAGGACACGCCCUCGCCCCGCGGCUCCUGUUGUGGCCUCCAGCAGUGAUGCGAGUGUAAGGAAUUACACGCUGCUGACUUUGAGAAAGCUCAUAGAGGACGUGCACAGCAUGUAACCAGCCCCGGACACACCUGUGCUCUUCAUGACCAUGACCACAUCCAUGCAUGAGUCUCAUUGGUGGCAUGCUGUUUCUCCAGGGAUGAUGCACAAGAUCCGUGUAGGUGGAGGCUGUUAGGGCUCUAAUUCCCACCCUAUCCUACAUCCAAGUUUUUUUUUAUGAUCCAGUCCAAGAGAUUCCUGCCCAUGCAUGUCGGACUGGAGUUGGAUUUCAGACCAAAGUUUUUGUUCUUGUCUGCAAGAAGAAUUAAAUAUAUGUACAUGUGUUUUGC